UAAGGAAUAUUGGUCAAUGGAGGCAACUCUGAACCAGCCAUGCCGCGUGCAGGAAGAAGGCCCUAUGGGUCGUAAACUGCUUUUGAACAAGAGAAAACCCCGGUACGUGUACUGGGUUGAUAGUAUUGUUAGAAUAAGCAUCGGCUAACUUCGUGCCAGCAGCCGCGGUAAGACGAAGGAUGCAAGCGUUAUCCGGAUUCAUUGGGUUUAAAGGGUGCGUAGGCGGACUGAUAAGUCAGUGGUGAAAUCUCUCGGCUUAACCGAGAAACUGCCAUUGAUACUGUUAGUCUAGAGUACAGAUGAUGUGGGCGGAAUAUGACGUGUAGUGGUGAAAUACUUAGAUAUGUCAUAGAACACCGAUUGCGAAGGCAGCUCACAAAACUGUAACUGACGCUGAGGCACGAAAGUGCGGGGAUCAAACAGGAUUAGAUACCCGUGUAGUCCCUGAGCGGGCUGGCAAGGCGCAU
rnacentral:rRNA from 1 species